CCCUUAGAUGUUCUGGGCCGCACGCGCGCUACACUGUUUGAUUCAGCGAGUCUUAACCUUGACCGAAAGGUUUGGGCAAUCCUCUAAAGUCAAACGUGAUGGGGAUCGAUCAUUGCAAUUAUUGAUCGUGAACGAGGAAUUCCUAGUAAAUGCAAGUCAUCAGCUUGCGUUGAUUACGUCCCUGCCCUUUGUACACACCGCCCGUCGCUACUACCGAUUGAAUGGUUUAGUGAGAUCUCCGGAUUGGCUCUGUAGGUCCCGCAAGGGAUUUAUUAGUAGCCAAGAAGCUGCUCAAACUUGAUCAUUUAGAGGAAGUAAAAGUCGUAACA
rnacentral:rRNA from 1 species